GAAUCAACGCUGGCGGCGUGCUUAACACAUGCAAGUCGAGCGGUAAGGCCCUUUCGGGGGUACACGAGCGGCGAACGGGUGAGUAACACGUGGGUGACCUGCCCUCAGCUCUGGGAUAAGCCUGAGAAACCGGGUCUAAUACUGGAUAUGACUCCAUGACGCAUGUUGUGGGGUGGAAAGCCUUGUGCGGCUGAGGAUGGGCCCGCGGCCUAUCAGCUUGNGGUGGGUGAUGGCCUACCAAGGCGACGACGGGUAGCCGGCCUGAGAGGGCGACCGGCCACACUGGGACUGAGACACGGCCCAGACUCCUACGGGA
rnacentral:rRNA from 1 species